GGUCAAGCGGUAAAGGGCACACGGUGGAUGCCUUGGCAUCAAGGGCCGAUGAAGGACGUGGCAAGACUGCGAUAAGCCUCGGUUGGUUGUCUAGCAAACUUAACCGGGGAUUUCCGAAUGGGGCAACCCGGCCAGGCAAAACCUGGUCACCUCCGGCUGAACACAUAGGCCGGUUGGAGGGCACCGGGGGAAGUGAAACAUCUCAGUACCCCGAGGAAAAGACAUUAUUCCCUUAGUAGUGGCGAACGAACGGGGAACAGCCCAAACCUGAUAAGCUUAGUGGCUCUGCGGCCUAUGCUUAUCUGGUGUUGUAAGGCAGGUCAGGCUCAGCUCGGAAUGAGCCAUGGAGUUACCAACCGAAUUCUAGCUGAAAGUUCUGGAAAGGACUACCACAGAAGGUGACAGUCCUGUAAGCGAAAGAAAUAGGCUCCCGACCUUGCCUUGAGUACCACGGGACACGAGAAAUCUUGUGGGAAUCUACCCUGACCACAGGGUAAGGCUAAAUACCCUUGAUGACCGAUAGUGAACUAGUACCGUGAGGGAAAGGUGAAAAGUACCCCGAAAGGGGAGUGAAAUAGACCUGAAACCGUGUGCUUACAAGCAGUCGGAGGGAAGCAAUUCCUGACGGCGUGCCUAUUGAAGAAUGAGCCGACGAGUUAAUCUGUGUAGCAGGUUAAGCAAUUUGCAUUGCGGAGCCGUAGCGAAAGCGAGUCUGAAUAGGGCGUUUAAGUUGUACAGAUUAGACCCGAAGCCGGGUGAGCUAUCCAUGGCCAGGGUGAAGCUCCGAUAAUCUCGGAGUGGAGGCCCGAACCGGUCAACGUUGCAAAGUUGUCGGAUGAGCUGUGGAUAGGGGUGAAAUGCCAAACGAACCCGGGGAUAGCUGGUUCUCCCCGAAAUGCAUUUAGGUGCAGCCUCGGAUGAUCGCUAAUGGAGGUAGAGCUCUGGAUGGACUAGGGGAGAUAACAUCUCUUCAACUCCAACCAAACUACGAAUGCCAUUAGCCAAAAUCCGGGAGUGAGACUAUGGGGGCUAAGCUCCGUAGUCGAGAGGGAAACA
rnacentral:rRNA from 1 species